CCUACGGGAGGCAGCAGUGAGGAAUAUUGGUCAAUGGGCGGGAGCCUGAACCAGCCAAGUCGCGUGAGGGAAGAAGGUACAGCGUAUCGUAAACCUCUUUUGUCAGGGAACAAAGGCGGGGACUAGUCCCCGGAUGAGGGUACCUGAAGAAAAAGCAUCGGCUAACGCCGUACCAGCAGCCGCGGUAAUACGGAGGAUGAGAGCGUUAUCCGGAUUUAUUGGGUUUAAAGGGUGCGCAGGCGGCCUGUUAAGUCAGCGGGAAAAGCCCGGGGCUCAACCCCGGCGAGCCGUUGAAACUGGCGGGCUGGAGUUGGAGAGAAGUACGCAGAAUGCGCGGUGUAGCGGUGAAAUGCUUAGAUAUCGCGCAGAACCCCGAUUGCGAAGGCAGCGUACCGGCUCCACACUGACGCUGAGGCACGAAAGCGUGGGUAUCGAACAGGAUUAGAUACCCUUGUAGUC
rnacentral:rRNA from 1 species